AGCGCCGGUGUCUCAGUUCGCAAUGAAGGGAGCAAAGUGUCGCCUCCGAAUCUGUUACAGGGCCUUUUCCUAGAAGACCAGGGGGCUGAAGACAAAGCUCACGUGAUUCCAGGGGACCCACCCGGCUAAUCCAGGAUAAUCUCUCCAUUUCAAGGUUGAGUGACAGAUUCCACACUGAACUCAAAAUCACGCUCUCCAAAGAUAAAGAAACUGAAGCUCAGAGAGGUGAAUGACCUUCUGGCGGUCACACAGCCAGGAAGAGGUGGAGCCUGGAUCUUCUGUCCCUGGGCCCUUUGGAGCAGGUGGGCUCCAAAGAUAUACUCUGCUGAUUUCUUAAAGGCUGCUGAAGGGUUGCUGCUAAUGACUCCCAGCUGCCCCUUCGCUGGAGACGAGCCCUCAGCCAAACGAGAGGCAUCCCCCGGAAGGCCGGCCCACCCUGCCUUCCUUUCCCG